rnacentral:rRNA from 1 species
GAUGAACGCUGGCGGCGUGCCUAAUACAUGCAAGUCGAGCGAACAGAUGAGAAGCUUGCUUCUCUGAUGUUAGCGGCGGACGGGUGAGUAACACGUGGGUAACCUACCUAUAAGACUGGGAUAACUCCGGGAAACCGGGGCUAAUACCGGAUAAUAUUUUGAACCGCAUGGUUCAAAAGUGAAAGACGGUUUCGGCUGUCACUUAUAGAUGGACCCGCGCCGUAUUAGCUAGUUGGUAAGGUAACGGCUUACCAAGGCGACGAUACGUAGCCGACUGGGGAGUGUGAUCGGCCACACUGGAACUGAGACACGGUCCAGACUCCUACGGGAGUAAGCAGUAGGGAAUCUUCCGCAAUGGGCGAAAGCCUGACGGAGCAACGCCGCGUGAGUGAUGAAGGUCUUCGGAUCGUAAAACUCUGUUGUUAGGGAAGAACAAAUUGUAGAGUAACUGCUACAGUCUUGACGGUAUCUUAUCAGAAAGCCACGGCUAACUACGUGCCAGCCGCCGCAGUAA